rnacentral:tRNA from 1 species
GGCAGUGUAGCUCAGUGGUUAACAGCGUCCGACUCUCGGGCCAGAAGGCCCGGGUUCGAUUCCCGGCCGCAAUCA